AGAUGAGGCAAGGAAGCGGUUACGAGCACGGAUGCACAAGUGGAACGCAGGAAUAGCAAGGAAGUCUCACCGUGGAUCAUAUGAUAAAAUGGAAAGCUGGAACGUAAAGAGUUAAUGGAACGAAGAGUAAAAGUGAAUAAAUCUUGUGUGUCUAUGAUGCGUGCUAAUGUUAUGACUUUGUGUGGUGAGCGCAGGUAGUACGCAACACGAGGAUCAUCAAGGGAUAGAGAUCAAGGACCGAGUCACAUGAAAGAUUGUACGGGGUGUAUAAGAAUGUAAUUUGUUAUAUAUAAGUUAUGUUUUAUUCUAUAAUUGAGUUAGUUUGAUGUAUUCAAUAUAGAGGAGUUAUUUUAAAAGUGAACUUUCAAGUAAGACAUAAGGUUUAUAAUGAAAGAAAUUUUAUGGUA